GUGCUUGCUUUGGCAGCACAUAUGCUAAAUUUGGAACAAUACAGAGAAGAUUAGCAUGGUCCCCCUGCACAACCAUUAUUUUAAAACAGACAACUACACAUCAU